GUAGGGGUGCAAGCGUUGUUCGGAAUCAUUGGGCGUAAAGCGAGUGUAGGUGGUUAUGCAAGUCAGGGCGUGAAAGCCCUGGGCUCAACCCAGGAAGUGCGCUUGAAACUACAUAGCUUGAGGACGGUAGAGGUUGGUGGAAUUCCUAGUGUAGAGGUGAAAUUCGUAGAUAUUAGGAGGAAUACCGGCGGCGAAGGCGGCCAACUGGGCCGUUCCUGACACUGAGACUCGAAAGCGUGGGUAGCAAACAGGAUUAGAUACCCUGGUAGUCCACGCCGUAAACGAUGAGUACUAGUUGUUGAGGGUAUUGACCCCUUCAGUGACGAAGCUAACGCAUUAAGUACUCCGCCUGGGAAGUACGGUCGCAAGAUUA
rnacentral:rRNA from 1 species